GUGAGUAGUUGUGGGCCUUAGUCUACUCCAGCCCAAAUUGGAAUACAUCUUGGCCCAAGUUGUUGACAAGUUCAUCUCUUCUCCUUGUGCUACAAAAUAUCAGAGAAGCACGUGAAGGGAGUGUGAGUCUGUUACGAACAGCUGUGACUCCAAGCAAGGGAGUCAUCUUCUUCGUGUGACUUAGAGAGAGAGAGAAAGAUCAAGAGAGAGAGAGCUUGGUGAGAGUGAGAGCUUCUCGGUUAUCUCUUUGUAUUCUGAUUCCUCUUCUCUUCUCUUCCCUUCACCUCCUUGUAUCUUGAGAGAUCCAUUGUAAACACCUUCGAUCGGUUUGAUCGGUUCUAAUGGAAAGGCUGAGAGACCUUCUUCUCUCCCGGUGAGUAUAGCUCUCUUCCACAUCGGAAGAGGAGGUGAACACCGGUCACCAAAAAUCUGUGUGUCUCUCUUAUGAUGUUUAUGCUUGUUGCUUGAGAAGUUAGAUCUUGUGAACAAACUAUUGAUACAGGUGGAAUCGGGAAUCGAUUCUCAACAAGUGGUAUCAGAGCCAAGGCUAGGCUCAGUGUAUCAAGGAGUUCCAGAUCUGGCUUCAUUAUCGAGUUCCAGAGCGAGGGAGGUUGGUUCACGGAUCUAUCAUGGAUCGGGUUAACGAAGGAUGAAUCAGAUCUGUUAGGUUCUGUGGAAGCUUCGGUGAAGUUUUUUGUGAUGAAGUCUCGUUCGUAAAGAUGAUUUUGAUUUUGGGGUUUCUUGCUUCUGCGACAUAGUGUGUUUGAGAAAGAAUCAAAGGUUUCAUUACGGAAAAGAAGAACCAGAUGUAUCACGUUCAGGAGAUGAAGCGAAAGAAUCAGAUGAUAUUUUUUACAGGAUCGUGACUUCAAAGGGAAUCUAAGGUUUAUCUAAUCUGGGAUAUCACAAGCUAAGGAAGAAGAAGAAGAAGGUGCUGGUUGUUCUUGGUAGAAGACACCACAGUUGGAGAAGCAAGGUUCACAGAGAAGAAAUCUAUUUGGAUAUGAAGAUUUCUGGGUUUAUAAACUCAUGUGAAUCUGUAGAGUAUUCUUUCUCCAACGGUUCAGAGAUUUUGUGCAUUAUUGUGAGCUAUGGUUUAGUGACUCACAGGUGAUGAUGCAGAAAUCAAGAGAUGAAGAGAUAUCCAGAGACUGAAGCGAGUACGUGAGACGUUCUUAACGUGCGUUUGGUAAUGCAGCUUGAGAAUGAUGUUAAGGUGGAGUUCUUUGCUGAUUAUUAUUGGGAUUCAGGUUCAUGAAGCAUGAGACAAAGUUCUUUGGCUUAAGGAAAUGAAAUCUGAAUCGAAUACAUCAUUACUCAAGUUCAAAUCUUGAAGACAAAAGUCUGUUUUUCUACUGCAGUCACAAGUAUCUUUGUGAUGGUGAAUGUUGUUGUUUCUGGUGCUGCUCAGGGUCAACUUAUUCAGAGGGAAUCAAACCUUAGAAGAACACAUAUGGUUAUCUACUGCUUCUACAAAGGAUUAGCCGAAGUUUUACUGGUUUUCAGGUUGUUUGUUUUGGUUGAAUCUGGGCGUAGAAGGUAUGGUACAGUUGGUGUUCAAGUGUUUUCUGAAGGAUAAGCCAAGAAUGGCACACAUGUGAGUCUCAAGACUAGGGGACUCCCUAGAAAUGAGAAUUAUGUGUGUCGAUAAUGGUUGUUUCUUAUCUUCAGUUAGGUUUCUGGUUUCAGGAUUAUAAAAAGAGUUGAAGAUGAGUAUGAAACAAGAUGGGUAUAGGCUUUGGGGUUUCAAGAUUGGUUAAGUUCUAAGAAGGUUGUCUUGCAAGAUCAGUCUAUGUGUCAAUGGUUAGAUUCUUGUGAAUCAGGAAGCUCAAGUUGUGAUGAUCAAGGGUCUAAGGAGAUCAUUAUGGAGCUUGGAGCAAUUUUGUUCAUUAAAUGAAAAUGGACAAGAAGGCUGGAUUUGUUGUGGUUUUAUUCACUGCGCUUUAGCGCAUAUACAACAAAUGGUUGGUUCUCAUAAGUGAACAAGUCAAGGUUCAUUUCAGGAGAACAUUGGAGAGUCAUCAAGUAUAAAGAAAAGCAGAAACAAGUUGUACCUCAAAAUGAAGCAGCUGAAGCAAAGAGGAAGGUGUAUGAAGAACAUACAAUGAUUUUACUGGAACAAAUGUUAUUUGUGGUAACGGCAGCUUUCACAUUUGGUGAGGUACUGGGAAGUGACAGACGCAAGCUCAUAAAGUUUUCAAGUUGUUCGCUUAUAAGGUUUCUGCUAAAGUCUUCAAUAUUUUGACUCUUGGAAAGCUGAUGGAGAAAAUCGGUGCUACAGAAACUUUGAUGAAGAAACAGGUUUCUGGCUCUUGUGCUUCGGGGUAAUGAAUCAAGAGGAGGUCUGACGUUGCUGGUUAUAGGAUAAUAUGGACAUGAAGAUUCAAGUUUCAGUCUUGCUUAGUGUGAACUAUGGCAUUGCUCAUGGCUUAUGUUCUGAAAGUUCAAAGAUAGUCAUUGUUAUAUGGGAUUCUUGUCUUGGCUGGGAAAUCAGAAUAUUCAGAGCAAUGUUAUAAUUCAGAGAACCAUUAGUUCCGAGGGUUUGUAUGCAGAAUAGUAUGCGAAAGAGUCAGAUUAUCUGAGGCUACAAUAAGAAGGUGUCUUAUCAGUUUGGUGGUACAAAACCAAAUUGGGAAGUUUCAACGUAGCGGCAACUCUUGAUGGUUCUUCGAAGUAUAAAUAACUUGGUGAAGUGGCAGCAAAGUGAAGAUAUAAUAUUCAAAGUGGGAAGCCAUAGUAAUCAGUUAAUUACACUGACAAGUGGAGCUGAGUGUGAAAAACACUAAAGGUCUGAAAUAUUUUUGGUUCCUGGUGGAGUUUCUACAAGUAUUGUAGUGUGCAUCAAAAUGUGAUUUUAUGGCUUCUGGGGGAGCAUUAAAUUUCAGAAGUGUUCUCAAGAUACCUUCAUCUUGGUAACGGUAUGAGAUUUCUAAGUCAGCUUACACAUGAAGAGUUAAAGAGAUUCAGCUAGUUCACUGUGGUACACUGAAGAGAGGGUUGAGAAAAAAGGAGCAGCUUGUUAUGGAUUCUUAGAAGAAGAAUUGAAGGAGACAAAGAGCGUGUGCUGCAGCCUGCUGGGAAGUAUCAGAGUUUUCUGUGCUAGUAAUAUGAUAAUACAAGCUGCGUUCGGAGUGAGAACAAGUAAUGUUCUUAGUCAUCAUUUAAACAUCAGAACGAGACUCAAGGAGGGAUCUUCUCAAGUACACUUAAAGAACUACAAGUGAUUGAGUAUUUUUAUGCCGUGGUUCCAAGUGAGACUGGUGAUGAAGAGAAAGACUCCGGUAUAAGUCUAUGGUUCUUUGAAAGGGGCAAGGGAUUUUUCUGGUGACUUGAGAUAUGGAGAUUUGCUACAGCAAAAGUGUCUCAUGAAUAUUCUCAGGAGUAUCACAGAGUGUUUUACAGCAGGAGGUGACAUCAAGAGUCCUUUGAUUGAUGUUGAAGUUGCUGUAAAAUGGUGUUUUUCUCACAGGUUGUGAGGAUGAGGCAGAGUAAAGAAGCUAGCAGUGGUUAAAAUCUAUUAUUGAUUUGGUUUCAAUAGUGCAGAAGGGUUUGAACAAGAUUAAGCAGAGAGAUUUGUUUCAAAAGUCUUCUUAGCAAGGUGGAGCUAGGCGGCGUGUUCUGUUGGUAACAACGGCGGAGCAAAGUGAUGCUUAAAGUUCAACCAAGUAACUAUUGGAUUAAAGACUGUCUCAAGAACUGAAGCAUGUGUGAUUCAGGUGAGAAUCAUGGCUUACUUCAAGUCAAGGAGGGACAAUGGUUUUUUGGUUUUCUGCAGUCAGUUCAAAUUAGCAUCAAAAUCAGUCUUUGGCGGGGUGAGAGGUGAUCUACAUCUACAGCAACAGGUUUAUGACAUUAUGUCAUAGGAAAUGUUUUAUGAGCUGAUCUAUACUAGUUAAAGGAAAAGCUUAUGGAGGUGGUUGCUGAGUUAACAGUAUUGGGAUAUUAAAUCUGUUAAUGGGAUUGUUGUGUGGUUAUCUCGUCUUGUUCCGGGUUAUGGAAUGUGCCAAAGAGGAUCAUUGAAGAAGUUGAUAACAAUAGGCUUUGUUAUGCAACUAAAGAGGACAUGGGAAGGCUAAAGAUUGGUGUUGUGAUUUAUGUGACAGCAGGAAUUCUUUGGCUAAUGUCUGGUACAUUGAUGGAUGCUUAAGAGAGUGAAGACUGGGAUUGUGGAAGUUAAAGCUGAGUUUCUAAAGGUUCUAAGAGGCAGCUUUAAAGGUGUUUGUUUGGUUUAAAACUCAAGAGGAGAACAUGGAGGUGUUAUUGUCUCAGGAACUCUGUGGUCAAAUAGAGUGAGCUUGUUAAAGAAGGACUGAUGUUCAAGUGUGGAGGUUGAAUGUAAGUAUAGAAUCAGAUCAUAUGAUUCUAAGAAUGGCUUACAAGAUAUCUGCUUAUAUGGAGUCAAGGAGAGUAUAUGGUAUCAAGUGAAGAAGUGAAGACACUAGCUUCAAAGGUUUCAGAAGAGAUCGUUGGAGAAAGUGAUCAGAGUUGAUAUUACCGAUUGAGAUCGGGGUUGAGCUUAUCACUGGAAAUGGAGUGUAGUGUAGCUGACUAGGCCCAAGGUGGAGAUUGUGAUUAGUUGUGGGCCUUAGUCUACUCCAGCCCAAAUUGGAAUACAUUUUGGCCCAAGUUGUUGACAAGUUCAUCUCUUUUCCUUGUGCUACAAAAUAUCAGAGAAGCACGUGAAGGGAGUGUGAGUCUGUUACGAACAGCUGUGACUCCAAGCGAGGGAGUCAUCUUCUUCGUGUGACUUAGAGAUAGAGAAAGAUCAAGAGAGAGAGAGCUUGGUGAGAGUGAGAGCUUCUCGGUUAUCUCUUUGUAUUCUGAUUCCUCUUCUCUUCUCUUCUCUUCACCUCCUUGUAUCUUGAGAGAUCCAUUGUAAACACCUUCGAUCGGUUUGAUCGGUUCUAAUGGAAAGGCUGAGAGACCUUCUUCUCUUCCGGUGAGUAUAGCUCUCUUCCACAUCGGAAGAGGAGGUGAACACCGGUCACCAAAAGUCUGUGUGUCUCUCUUAUGAUGUUUAUGCUUGUUGCUUGAGAAGUUAGAUCUUGUGAACAAACAAUUGAUACAGGUGGAAUCAGGAAUCGAUUCUCAACAAAGAUCUUCAUAGUAGUCUUUUGGAUAGUUGCUUGCUUUAAUAUGUGUAUUGUGAAUGUACAAAAACUAUCAUAGGCACCGUUUGAAUACAUAUACCUUUUUUCCACUAGUAGUCAUCUCUCUUCUUCAUUGAUGAUGAUAAGCUGAUAACUCAUUGAGAGAUGAUUUGUUGGGUGUCGAGUUCUCCUCCUCUCCUUAGAACUCGAAUGGCUGUGAUUUUUUCCACUGGCUCGUGGUCAAGGACGAGCCUGAAGCUGGUGCUACGAGAUGAAAUCAUUGAUGACUACAUCAAAACUCUUGCCCAAAUUGUUGGCAUGUACUUCUUUUGCCAAUGAAAUCUUAAUCUUCCAUACAUUUUUUUGUCUGUUCUAAUCUGUGAUUAUUAAGAAAAGGCUAAAAAGAGGAUGUACUAUGUAUCCUCGAGGUGCUACUAUGCUUUUGGAGCAUUGGUUCCCCAAUCUUUGGUGGAUAAAAUCAAGUGACUUCUAAAGGUUAAAUGGGUAUUACCAGACUCAUACUCAGAGGAGAAAGAUUACGGUGGUGGUUCUUUGACGGUAAGGCUUUUGCCUAUUAGAUAUCAUGAGCUUUGGUAUCAGAACAACAAGAAGGAGCACAAGUCACGCGAGGACAGUGGUUUCAUCGUGAGGAAAAAUCUGAUUGAAGACCAUGAAAGAAUCAAGAAACGAUGGGAUCUGAGGAUGAGUGUGGUUGGAGGCGAAGCCACGUUUGCGAGGAUGUUGAAGCUCGGUAUUCAUCCAUUUGCAGGAAGUGGUGACAACAUAGGGAUGAAAUGUUUGUUUGUGAGGUAGCUCACGCCGUUGAGUGGAUGUUGUGUACGUGGGCAACUUUGGCCAUUAGCCACGGUCAGACUAGCUACGCUUUUGUCACCUUCUCUGAGGAAGAAGAUAUUUUUGACGCUGUCUUGGAGCUGGGGAAUCGAGGUGGGACCCGAGGUCGGUAGAGGAGGAUAAAACCAUUUACAAUCAACAUUCAAAAUGUCAUACCACUCAAUUUUUUCAAUCGUUAAGAUCUAAUGUAUUGCUGGUGGUGCAUGAGUAUUACUUUUUCAAUUGAUAAUAAAUCUCUAAAUACAAACAAA